CCUACGGGUGGCAGCAGUGAGGAAUAUUGGUCAAUGGACGAGAGUCUGAACCAGCCAAGUAGCGUGAAGGAUGACUGCCCUAUGGGUUGUAAACUUCUUUUAUAUGGGAAUAAAACGUUCCACGUGUGGGAUUUUGUAUGUACCAUAUGAAUAAGGAUCGGCUAACUCCGUGCCAGCAGCCGCGGUAAUACGGAGGAGCCGAGCGUUAUCCGGAUUUAUUGGGUUUAAAGGGAGCGUAGGUGGAUUGUUAAGUCAGUUGUGAAAGUUUGCGGCUCAAACGUAAAAUUGCAGUUGCAACUGGCAGUCUUGAGUACAGUAGAGGUGGGCGGAAUUCGUGGUGUAGCGGUGAAAUGCUUAGAUAUCACGAAGAACUCCGAGUGCGAAGGCAGUUCACUGGACUGCAACUGACACUGAGGCUCGAAAGUGUGGGUAUCAAACAGGAUUAGAUACCCGAGUAGUC
rnacentral:rRNA from 1 species